UCCCCGCUUCUCCUCCCUGAGCGGGUGCCUGUCGUUAUUCGAUUAGGCUGUUUGACCCGCCGGUAAACGGCGGGUUUUUUUAU
rnacentral:ncRNA from 2 species